rnacentral:lncRNA from 1 species
AUCUUAAGUUGUAUAUAUGUGCAGAGCGCGGCGCGGGUGGUCACCUCCGCUGCUGCCGCCACCCGCCCGGCCUGCCUUUGACCCUAUGGGUCACAGACAAGGCAGGGUGAUCGCGGCAAGACCCUGAGUGAGACUAGAUGCGUUACCCAGAGGGUGCGAGGUCGAGUACCUUCCCUGUCCCAUCGCAAACCCAAAGAUCCCCGUUCCUGGAGAUUCUGAUUGAGGUCCCAGCCCUACCUGUCCUGAUGCCUGACCAGCAGGAUGCAAGCCCAGGAGGCCAUCCAGGAUACCAGGACUGGGAGAGAAUGCCCAGUGGUGAUUCCUGCAUAGUCCUAGGAGGUGUCUUGGGCCCAGGCUCUGGAGUUGGAGGCUCAGUUUCAGCCUUGCACAGGGUCUCUGUUGCAGGUGGCCACUUCUGUACCACAAGGGAGAACGUGUGUCUGGCAAAGCGUGGUGCUGCCCAGGGUGAGGCCGAGCUGGAUGAUGCUCCAGUCCUGAACCCCACUCGUGGACACUCACUCACCCAUCUCCGGGGUCCGCCCGGCUCCCGGCGCAGCCC